CCAAAGUCCAGUCCAGGAGUCAAUUGCGGCCCCGGUUAAAUUUCCACCGGCCCGCCCUUCAUCCCUCACUUCUUUCUCCCUCCCUCCCUUGAUUUCUUCCUUCCUUCUUGGGGAUCCAUACCCCAGAAAAGGCAGGCUCCUCAGGAGGAGAGAGAGAGAGAUGGCAGCUUUUUGCAUCCUUUCACCCUGGGGAAAUCCCAGAUUAAGACAUGACUACUGUUUCCUCCUCUAUUUACUGGCUUCACCAUUUCACUGAAAGGGAAAAGAAAAACACAGCGGCAAGAUUAACAAUUGACAAGAUCUGGAAAGGAAAAAGACUCCCAACCCCCGAAGAAUGGAUAAUAAGAAUACUAGACAUAGUACAAAUGGAUAAGUUAACACAAAAAAUAAGAGAAAGGAAAAACAAAACAGACUGGAAAACUUUAUAAAAUUCCUAACAAAAAGAAGAAUGGAUUUUAUGAUAGACCUGUCUAAUAUAUAAAGUAGUUUAAACGGAAUACAUAAAGACACAAUUAAUGAAAGAGACAACUCCGAAGCCAAGAUGGGAAGUAUAACCCGAUUUUUUCUCUCUCUCUUUUCUUCUUCUUUUUUUUUGGUUUUUUUUUUUAAACCUCUAUUUCUAUGUUUAUUUUUCCUAUUGGUACUUUCCCACUUUUCUAUUGAUAUAUUGUUCCACCACUUUCAAUGUAUCAUGUUUCACUAUAAAAAAAUAAAAAAUAUUCACACACACAAAAAAAACAUGCUGCAA
rnacentral:lncRNA from 11 species